rnacentral:rRNA from 1 species
UACGGAGGGUGCAAGCGUUAUCCGGAUUCACUGGGUUUAAAGGGUGCGUAGGUGGGCAGUUAAGUCAGUGGUGAAAUCUCCGGGCUCAACCCGGGAAACUGCCAUUGAUACUAUCUGUCUUGAAUAUCGUGGAGGUAAGCGGAAUAUGUCAUGUAGCGGUGAAAUGCUUAGAUAUGACAUAGAACACCAAUUGCGAAGGCAGCUUACUACCCGAAUAUUGACACUGAGGCACGAAAGCGUGGGGAUCAAACAGG